UUGAUUGCGUUGCGCUUCUUGUAAGAUAAUGCACGAGUAAUGAUUGAAAGACUUGGAUCAACGAAGGUAUACCGCGUACGUGACGAACUGAUCCCCGUUGUGAUAUCCAUACGGCUCCGGUGAGCUCGGUCCACUCCGGUGGUUUCCGGCGGCUUUGGUUAUCUCCGGUUUGUUCUCCGUUGUCGUAACGUUUAUUGAGUGAACAAGAGAAAAACGCGGACAGUUAAGAAU
rnacentral:lncRNA from 1 species